rnacentral:tRNA from 3 species
GGAGGGAUCGCAUAGUCUGGCCUAGUGCGCACGCUUGGAAAGCGUGUAAGGGUUUAUCCCCUUCGAGGGUUCGAAUCCCUCUCCCUCCGCAA